rnacentral:rRNA from 1 species
UGGGGAAUAUUGGACAAUGGGGGAAACCCUGAUCCAGCGACGCCGCGUGUGUGAAGAAGGCCUGCGGGUUGUAAAGCACUUUCGAUGGGAACGAAAUAUGCCGGGCUAAUACCCCGGUAGGCUGACGUUACUCAAUGAAGAAGCACCGGCUAACUCUGUGCCAGCAGCCGCGGUAAUACAGAGGGUGCGAGCGUUAAUCGGAAUUACUGGGCGUAAAGCGCACGUAGGCGGCUUCGUAAGUCGGAUGUGAAAUCCCCGGGCUCAACCUGGGAACUGCAUUCGAGACUGCGGGGCUCGAGUAUGGAAGAGGAAGGCGGAAUUCCAGGUGUAGCGGUGAAAUGCGUAGAUAUCUGGAGGAACAUCAGUGGCGAAGGCGGCCUUCUGGUCCAAUACUGACGCUCAGGUGCGAAAGCGUGGGGAGCAAACAGG